rnacentral:rRNA from 1 species
CGCGGCCUAUCAGCUUGUUGGUGGGGUAACGGCCCACCAAGGCAUCGACGGGUAGCUGGUCUGAGAGGACGAUCAGCCACACUGGGACUGAGACACGGCCCAGACUCCUACGGGAGGCAGCAGUGGGGAAUAUUGCGCAAUGGGCGAAAGCCUGACGCAGCAACGCCGCGUGGGGGAUGAAGGCCUUCGGGUUGUAAACCCCUUUCAGCAGGGACGAAAAUGACGGUACCUGCAGAAGAAGCCCCGGCCAACUACGUGCCAGCAGCCGCGGUAACACGUAGGGGGCAAGCGUUGUCCGGAUUUAUUGGGCGUAAAGAGCUCGUAGGCGGUUGCGUAAGUCGGAUGUGAAAACUCAGGGCUCAACCCGGAGACGCCAUCCGAUACUGCGCUGACUAGAGUCCGGUAGAGGAGCAUGGAAUUCCUGGUGUAGCGGUGAAAUGCGCAGAUAUCAGGAGGAACACCAGUGGCGAAGGCGGUGCUCUGGGCCGGUACUGACGCUGAGGAGCGAAAGCGUGGGUAGCAAACAGGAUUAGAUACCCUGGUAGUCCACGCCGUAAACGUUGGGCACUAGGUGUGGGGCCUUAUCAACGGGUUCCGUGCCGUAGCUAACGCAUUAAGUGCCCCGCCUGGGGAGUACGG